rnacentral:rRNA from 1 species
AUGGAGAGUUUGAUUCUGGCUCAGAACGAACGCUGGCGGCGUGGAUAAGACAUGCAAGUCGAACGAGAGAAUUGCUAGCUUGCUAAUAAUUCUCUAGUGGCGCACGGGUGAGUAACACGUGAGUAACCUGCCCCGAGAGCGGGAUAGCCCUGGGAAACUGGGAUUAAUACCGCAUAGUAUCGAAAGAUUAAAGCAGCAAUGCGCUUGGGGAUGGGCUCGCGGCCUAUUAGUUAGUUGGUGAGGUAACGGCUCACCAAGGCGAUGACGGGUAGCCGGUCUGAGAGGAUGUCCGGCCACACUGGAACUGAGACACGGUCCAGACACCUACGGGUGGCAGCAGUCGAGAAUCAUUCACAAUGGGGGAAACCCUGAUGGUGCGACGCCGCGUGGGGGAAUGAAGGUCUUCGGAUUGUAAACCCCUGUCAUGUGGGAGCAAAUUAAAAAGAUAGUACCACAAGAGGAAGAGACGGCUAACUCUGUGCCAGCAGCCGCGGUAAUACAGAGGUCUCAAGCGUUGUUCGGAAUCACUGGGCGUAAAGCGUGCGUAGGCUGUUUCGUAAGUCGUGUGUGAAAGGCGCGGGCUCAACCCGCGGACGGCACAUGAUACUGCGAGACUAGAGUAAUGGAGGGGGAACCGGAAUUCUCGGUGUAGCAGUGAAAUGCGUAGAUAUCGAGAGGAACACUCGUGGCGAAGGCGGGUUCCUGGACAUUAACUGACGCUGAGGCACGAAGGCCAGGGGAGCGAAAGGGAUUAGAUACCCCUGUAGUCCUGGCAGUAAACGGUGCACGCUUGGUGUGCGGGGAAUCGACCCCCUGCGUGCCGGAGCUAACGCGUUAAGCGUGCCGCCUGGGGAGUACGGUCGCAAGAUUAAAACUCAAAGAAAUUGACGGGGACCCGCACAAGCGGUGGAGUAUGUGGCUUAAUUCGAUGCAACGCGAAGAACCUUACCUGGGCUUGACAUGUAAUGAACAACAUGUGAAAGCAUGCGACUCUUCGGAGGCGUUACACAGGUGCUGCAUGGCCGUCGUCAGCUCGUGUCGUGAGAUGUUUGGUUAAGUCCAGCAACGAGCGCAACCCCUGUUGCCAGUUACCAGCACGUGAAGGUGGGGACUCUGGCGAGACUGCCCAGAUCAACUGGGAGGAAGGUGGGGACGACGUCAGGUCAGUAUGGCCCUUAUGCCCAGGGCUGCACACGUACUACAAUGCCCAGUACAGAGGGGGCCGAAGCCGCGAGGCGGAGGAAAUCCUGAAAACUGGGCCCAGUUCGGACUGUAGGCUGCAACCCGCCUACACGAAGCCGGAAUCGCUAGUAAUGGCGCAUCAGCUACGGCGCCGUGAAUACGUUCCCGGGUCUUGUACACACCGCCCGUCACAUCAUGGAAGCCGGUCGCACCCGAAGUAUCUGAAGCCAACCGCAAGGAGGCAGGGUCCUAAGGUGAGACUGGUAACUGGGAUGAAGUCGUAACAAGGUAGCCGUAGGGGAACCUGCGGCUGGAUCACCUCCUUUCUAUGGA